rnacentral:lncRNA from 1 species
UGGCAACACUUAGCAUCUGUGAAAGCAACUUGUUUUCAGACAGACCACAUGGAGCACACCUGGUAGAGGUCUCAGGUCACAUGCAUUAUUAACAAGAAUUGUAGCUAAGGAAAACUAAAAGCCACAAGCUAUGCCUGUCAGGGCUAAAUUAACACUGGAGAGGUUUAAUGAGUUACCAAAGAUUGUGUGACUUAGAGUUUAUACUUCAGCUAUCUGUGAUCUUUGCGGUAUGAAAGCUAUUUCCCCCAAAACACUAAGAAGAGGUGCAAAGAAGCAGAGGUAGGCAGAUUUCUGUGAGUUCUAGGACAGCCCUACCUACACAGUGAGUUCCAGACAGCUGGGACUACAUAGUGACACCUGGUCUUAGAAAGAAAUAGUGGAGCCUGGUGGUGGUGGCGGUGGCGCACACCUUUAAUCCCAGCACUCGGGAGGCAGAGGCAGUUGGAUCUCUGUGAGUUCGAGGCCAGCCUGGUCUCCAGAGCAAGUCCCAGGACAGUCUCCAAAGCUACACAGAGAAACUAUGUCUCGAACCACCCCCCCAAAAAAGAAAAAGAAAAUGGAUUUUUAUUUUAUUUUUCUUAGCAAAGUACUCCAGACAAAUAAUAGUCAACUGAAGGCAUCAGAACAAUCCUCACAGAGCUCUCAGAGCAGGAAUUGAGUCUCAAGUUUCUGUCCCCAACUCCCGGCCUCAGACAGCUGUAAAUGCAUAUCCCAUGUGGAUCCAGUCUCUGAAAUACUGAAUGGAAAUUUACUGGGGCCCUCUAGGAGGCUAGACUCUCACACAAACUGACCUGCCCCAGGGGACUCUCCACUGUGCCAGAUAUUUUAUGAGGAUCGGCAUUCCCAGUUGAUUGAGUCGGCAAAAGGAAACCAAAGAACUGUGUCUUAAAACUGAUUUAUCCUGCUUAAUUGUCCACAGGGGACACUCUACUCUAGGCCAGGAGUUGGACAAAUAUGAGGUCUGCAAGAUGCCUGCCUCCAACCCGCCAGUACCCCGUAGUGCUGCUUGGCCAGACAGGCUUCCUGGCAAGCUCUGGCCUCGUUCUCCUUACCUGAGCUCCAACCUGGACCACUUGCUGACCUGCUGGGGCUCUAACCCCAGUUCCUGCAGGACCUUGAUUAACUGAACGCUUCCCUGACG